rnacentral:rRNA from 1 species
UACGGGAGGCAGCAGUGGGGAAUUUUGCGCAAUGGGGGGAACCCUGAGAGCAGUGACCGCACGCGUAGGUGAUGAAGCUUUUUUGGAGUGUAAAACCUUGUCACCGGUGAAGAAGUUCGCACRCUUUAAUAUGGUGUGUGAAUUGACGGUAGCCGGAGAGRAAGCCCCGGGUAAAUUCGUUCCCGCAGCCGGGGUAACACGGGGGGGGCGAGCGUUUUUUGGAAUUUCUGGGCGUAAAGGGCGCGUAGGCGGUCUGUUAAGUGUGAAGUGAAAUUCCUGGGCUCAACCUGGGACGUGCUUUGCAUACUGGUGGACUUGAGUCCAAGAGGGGGUGGUGGAAUUCCUGGUGUAGGGGUGAAAUCCUUAGAUAUCAGGAGGAACACCGUUGGCGAAGGCGGCCACCUGGAUUGGUACUGACGCUGAGGCGCGAAAGCGUGGGGAGCGAACAGGAUAAGAUACCCUGGUAGUCCACGCCGUAAACGAUGUUCACUUGGUGUUGGUGUGAUUA